rnacentral:rRNA from 1 species
UACAGAGGUCCCGAGCGUUGUUCGGAUUUAUUGGGCGUAAAGGGUGCGUAGGCGGCGGAGUAAGUUGGGUGUGAAAUCCCGGGGCUUAACCUCGGAAUUGCAUUCAAUACUGCUUCGCUUGAGUACUGGAGAGGAGGCUGGAAUUUACGGUGUAGCAGUGAAAUGCGUAGAUAUCGUAAGGAAGACCAGUGGCGAAGGCGGGUCUCUGGACAGUUCCUGACGCUGAGGCACGAAGGUCAGGGGAGCAAACGGG